rnacentral:tRNA from 1 species
UUAAUUGAAGCCAAAAAUGAGGUAACUUAUUGUUAAUAAGUAAAUUGAAUUAAAUUCCAAUUAAA